AGAUUGAACGCUGGCGGCAUGCUUUACACAUGCAAGUCGAACGGUAACAGGCCGCAAGGUGCUGACGAGUGGCGAACGGGUGAGUAAUGCAUCGGAACGUGCCCAGUCGUGGGGGAUAACGCAGCGAAAGCUGUGCUAAUACCGCAUACGGUCUAUGGAUGAAAGCGGGGGACCGAAAGGCCUCGCGCGAUUGGAGCGGCCGAUGUCAGAUUAGCUAGUUGGUGGGGUAAGGGCCCACCAAGGCGACGAUCUGUAGCUGGUCUGAGAGGACGACCAGCCACACUGAACUGAGACACGGUCCAGACUCCUACGGGAGGCAGCAGUGGGGAAUUUUGGACAA
rnacentral:rRNA from 1 species